CGCGCAGGCGGCCUGAUUAGUCAGAUGUGAAAGCCCGGGGCUCAACCCCGGAAGUGCAUUUGAUACUGUCAGGCUUGAGUAUGGGAGAGGAAAGUGGAAUUCCUGGUGUAGAGGUGAAAUUCGUAGAUAUCAGGAGGAACACCGGUGGCGAAGGCGACUUUCUGGACCAAUACUGACGCUGAGGCGCGAAGGCGUGGGGAGCAAACAGGAUUAGAUACCCUGGUAGUCC
rnacentral:rRNA from 1 species